rnacentral:rRNA from 1 species
AUACGGAGGGUGCAAGCGUUACUCGGAAUCACUGGGUUUAAAGGGUCCGCAGGCGGUCAAUUAAGUCAGAGGUGAAAGCCCAUCGCUCAACGAUGGAACUGCCUUUGAUACUGGUUGACUUGAGUUAUACGGAAGUAGAUAGAAUAAGUAGUGUAGCGGUGAAAUGCAUAGAUAUUACUUAGAAUACCGAUUGCGAAGGCAGUCUACUACGUAUAUACUGACGCUGAGGGACGAAAGCGUGGGGAGCGAACAGGAUUAGAUACCCUAGUAGUCC